rnacentral:tRNA from 1 species
GCGGGCGUGGCGGAAUUGGUAGACGCGCUAGACUUAGGAUCUAGUAUCUCUGAUGUGUAGGUUCGAGUCCUAUCGCCCGUA